AGACGGGACCCGCACAAGCGGUGGAUGAUGUGGAUUAAUUCGAUGCAACGCGAAAACCUUACCUACCCUUGACAUGUCCGGAAUCCCGAAGAGAUUUGGGAGUGCUCGCAAGAGAACCGGAACACAGGUGCUGCAUGGCUGUCGUCAGCUCGUAUCGUGAGAUGUUGGGUUAAGUCCCGCAACGAGCGCAACCCUUGUCAUUAGUUGCCAUCAUUUGGUUGGGCACUCUAAUGAGACUGCCGGUGACAAACCGGAGGAAGGUGGGGAUGACGUCAAGUCCUCAUGGCCCUUAUGGGUAGGGCUUCACACGUCAUACAAUGGUCGGUACAAAGGGCAGCGACACAGCGAUGUGAAGCCAAUCCCGAAAAGCCGGUCUCAGUCCGGAUUGGAGUCUGCAACUCGACUCCAUGAAGUUGGAAUCGCUAGUAAUCGCGGAUCAGCACGCCGCGGUGAAUACGUUCCCGGGCCUU
rnacentral:rRNA from 1 species